UCCCAGACUCCUACGGGAGGCAGCAGUGGGGAAUAUUGCACAAUGGGGGAAACCCUGAUGCAGCAACGCCGCGUGAGUGAAGAAGUAUUUCGGUAUGUAAAGCUCUCUCAGCAGGGAAGAAGAAGGACGGUACCUGACUAAGAAGCCCCGGCUAACUCCGUGCCAGCAGCCGCGGUAAUACGGAGGAUGCGAGCGUUAUCCGGAUUUAUUGGGUUUAAAGGGUGCGUAGGCGGGCUGUUAAGUCAGCGGUAAAAGGUCGGGGCUCAACCCCGGCCUGCCGUUGAAACUGGCGGCCUCGAGUGGGCGAGAAGUACGCGGAAUGCGUGGUGUAGCGGUGAAAUGCAUAGAUAUCACGCAGAACUCCGAUUGCGAAGGCAGCGUACCGGCGCCCAACUGACGCUCAUGCACGAAAGCGUGGGUAUCGAACAGGAUUAGAUACCCCGGUAAG
rnacentral:rRNA from 1 species